AUCUGUUAUAUAGAGGAUGUUCACUGUUUCUAUGCUUCUCAUGUUUAAAUAAAUGUUUUACGUAUUUUAAGUUCCUUUUGGAAAUACUACUCCCUUUUCCACUGCCACGCAUUCAUGUUCUUUGGAACUAUUAAUCUCUCUGUGCUAUACCUUCUUUGAUAAAUGUAGCACACCUACCACCCAAACCCUCUAUUCUAUCACUUCUCACAGAGAUAAACCCAGGUAUAAAAUAAUCCAAUUGCCAUAUGAACUCAGACUAAUUUUUGUUUAUGAGGGAUUUAGCAAUAACCAUGGAAUCUGGGAUCCUUGGGACGUCACUACUAUCAACUCCAAAGCUUUCAUUUUUGUUUCUGAGGGACUUUCAAUGCUUUGGGCGGGCUUUAGUAGGAGGUGUGGAGGAUGCUUCUCCAUUGGUCAGAGUGGCUGGUGAAAUAUUUGCAGUGAGCCUUGCACAAGGUGGACCGUCUCCAUGAUUUAUGCAGGAGUGGUGUUACCACUAUCUGUUGACCGGGACCCUGAAGGACCUAACAAAGGAUCAAAGAUGCCUUUGACCUGGCACCCUACACUGAAGGAAUCCUCAACUGUGGCUACACAGGCCCCAUCAACUUGGAUCACAAGGAGAGCAUAAUAAGAGACAUUUUGCUACAUGCAACCACAAAACGUACAGCGAUGCUUCAGCAGCUGCAUGAAGGCCUUGAAAUCUACAUCCUAAUUGAGGUCCUGCAGAAGAAACCGAAGCCAAUGUCACAUAUUGGCCCCAUUAUUUAUACAAAGACCUUUCUACAAAGUAUUAAGAUAGUUCUAUAUUUAAUACAUUUUGUAAAAAUGAGAAAAAACAUGUUUUCACUUUCUCUGUAUGGGGUUUUGUGUAUAGAUGGGUGAUGGGGAAGAAAAUAUUUAAUCAAUUUCAAAUUCAGGCUUAAAAUUCAAGGAGUGUGAAUACUUUCUGAAAGCACAGUAUGCUCUAUCAAAUAAUCAACAUGGUUUUUGUUAAAAUCAAAUCAAAUUUUAUUGAUCACAUACACAUGGUCAGCAGAUGUUGCAAGUGUAGCGAAACGCUUGUGCUUCUAGUUCCGACAGUGCAGUAAUAUCUAACAAGUAAUCUAACAUUGGACUAACUAGUGUGCAGACUCAUCAAAACAGAUUAUAUAUUAUAUUCUAGCAUGUCAUGACAUGGACAGUGUCAACCAAUGAGCAGAAGCUCAUCGCACAGACAAGGCCACCAUGCAAGAUAAGAUUAGGGGAAAUGAGAGUUAUGUAGUAGCCUAAACCUAGCCCGAUACAUUGAGCUGGGUGAAUGGAAUAUGAAUGAGUCAUCAAUAUGCUGUAAUAUAAAUAAGGCUAUACUCAUUCAAAUAAACCAUCCUCCCUAAUCUUAAAACGGCACUGACCGCCACUGCCUUCCAUUCCUCCUUGAGGUAUAAAUGACAGGUGAAACUCAUGUGGAGCCAAUUCACCUGUCCAAUCAGUGAGUCUUCAAGGAAGGAUGCACUUUUUAAAGGAAGGUCAAUAUAAUCCUUCUCGUUUGGAAUCUCUAAAGAUAUUAAAAAUUGUUUUGGAAUUUAGUCAAUAAUACACAUGUGAAAUAUCAGGAGGUUCAUUAUAUAGAUGAACUAAACAGACGUCCUCACACCCUUGCAGUUUUCACAUUUUGCUUUAUUCAAUAGCAUUUUUUACAAUGUAGCUAACAUCAUUGGGACAUUUGAACAUAAGAAAGUUAGCUGGCUUAAUUGUAUUGCAGAUCCUCUAUUUCUUAAUCCCAAAAGGGGACAUUGGAUCAGUCACCAGAAAUACACUUACAGCAACAAUAGACUGAGCACUGAUGACUGGUGAAACAAGCAUAACCCAAGACUUACAGAGAAGCAAAUUGAUUCAAUAGAAGAGACUAAACCCAUGGAAUCAAAAACACCAAAACAAUGAAUAAUGGCAUUGAAUAAUGUGCAUCAUAUAAAACAAUACCUACAAAAUACAAAGGAACUGUACAACACAAAUAACUAUACAAUCAAGGUGAAAAAUCUGUCAAUGUGUUCUUGAGCAAGGCACUUAACCCUAAUUUGCUCCAGGGGCAGAGUACUACUAUGGCUGACCCUGUAAAACAACACAUUUCACAGCACGUAUCCCAGUGUGACAAUAAAAUAUUUUAGGAGGAUCGUAAGAACAGAACUGUAAACAAAACAUUUGUCCCAUUGCUUCGCUUCAGAGCUCCCCAGUGGCGCAGGUCUAAGGCAAUGCAUAUCAGUGCAAGGAGUCACUACAGUCCCUGGUUCUAAUCCAGGCUGUAUCACAUCCGGCCGUGAUUGGGAGUCCCAUAGGGCGGAGCACAAUUGGCCCAGUGUCGUCUGGUGUAGGCUGUCAUUGUAAAUAAGAAUUUGUUCUUAACUGACUUGCCGAGUUUAAUAAAAAAAUUACAAAAUAAAUGGGUCACACUGAACAUAGCCUACACUGCACCAUUGCCUCUUGAUGUUUACUCUGUGGGAUUAUACAAAUCCAUGGUAACUCAACAAGUGGAGUCCAUUUUUCCCCCAUACCAGUGUCUAGGAAAUGUCAUCCGUAUGUCCUUUGCACAGUUUGUGUCAACAGAAUCUACAGUACAUCAUAAGGUCCAUGGAGAUGUUGUGAUCUGUAGACUUCCUCAGUUCAAGGGCAUUUGCUCAAUGUAUCUGGCACCAGCAUCCAAAGACCAGGUGGAGUGUCUUACAAAAUGGCAUUUGUGUUUUAUUCCAAUUACCGUCAACUGACUUGGACUGACCAUUUGAAAUCAUGGACACACCUGACCUUUCCCAGAACAGAACAGACCUGGCUCCUACAAACGUUUCCAUCUUCAUCCCCAGUAUUGGAAGACAGGCUGUCUAUCAAGGUCAUGGCCUUUUUAAUCUUUACACCACAAAACAAAUGUGCCAGCCUCCAACUUUUAUUUCAAAACGGAGUCUAGAUCACAUUCACCAUGUAGUGGACAGAAAUUGUGCCCUACUGCCUAGUCUAGUUUUCAAGCCAAUGAACCACACAUUAGACUGGAUUGUUCUGAUGAAUGUCCUGGAGGCUUGAAUCUGUAUAAUAUUCAUAAGACACAUUUUAGCUCAAAUCUGGCUGAAAUUCAUGAACAAGUAUACUGUACCAUUCUGAUGUUAUAGGCUACCUUACCUGUUCUUGUUCCCACAAACAGCAUUGAUGUUUGCUCAGUGUCUGAUACCUAGUAAAAGGAAACCUCAACUCAAUAAAACUUUCAAAAGUGCAACCCUUGAGGUAAUAGAAAUUCCUGUCAGCCAUCUUCUUACCACAUUGAGUAUGAUAGAAAUUACUGCUGUAUUAAAUAGGUAUUGAGGGAUUAUUCAUUAACAUACCUCUGUAGGGCUUUGCAUCUCUGGAAAAGUACAAGAAUCAACAUUGAGACAAACUAAUUUGGAACUCGAUAACAUACUGUUUGACAGGGGUGUUAUCAUGAUAUUCAGAACAUUAUUGUGCAUUUAAUUUUACUAAUCUUGUACUGGUACGUCCUGUAUGUAGCACCAUUCUUGUGUUAUCUAGUACUGGUACUUCCUGAAUGUAGCUCCAUUCUUGUGUAUUUUAUUUAAAUCCUUGUUACUAUUUUGUAUUAAUUUUUUUACUGCAUCGUUUGGAAGAGCUCGUAAGCAAGCAUUUCACAGUAAAGUCUCCAUCCGUUGUACUCAGCACAUGUGACAAAUAAAAUGUGAUUUGAUUCAGUG